GAUGAACGCUAGCGGCAGGCUUAACACAUGCAAGUCGAGGGGCAGCAUAGUCUUCGGACUGAUGGCGACCGGCGCACGGGUGCGUAACGCGUAUGCAAUCUACCUCUGACAGGGGGAUAGCCCCGAGAAAUCGGGAUUAAUACCCCAUAAAAUUUGUUAAUGGCAUCAUUGACAAAUCAAAGCUCCGACGGUCAGAGAUGAGCAUGCGUCCCAUUAGCUAGUUGGUGAGGUAACGGCUCACCAAGGCAACGAUGGGUAGGGGUUCUGAGAGGAUGAUCCCCCACACUGGUACUGAGACACGGACCAGACUCCUACGGGAGGCAGCAGUGAGGAAUAUUGGGCAAUGGACGCAAGUCUGACCCAGCCAUGCCGCGUGCAGGAUGACGGCCCUAUGGGUUGUAAACUGCUUUUGUAUGGGAAGAAUUCCUUUUACGGGUAAAAGGAUGACGGUACUGUACGAAUAAGCAUCGGCUAACUCCGUGCCAGCAGCCGCGGUAAUACGGAGGAUGCAAGCGUUAUCCGGAUUUAUUGGGUUUAAAGGGUGCGUAGGCGGAAUUGUAAGUCAGUGGUGAAAUCUUACGGCUCAACCGUAAAAUUGCCAUUGAUACUGCAGAUCUAGAGUUCAUUUGACGUGGGCGGAAUGUAGCAUGUAGCGGUGAAGUGCUUAGAUAUGCUACAGAACACCGAUUGCGAAGGCAGCUCACGAAACUGAGACUGACGCUGAUGCACGAAAGCGUGGGGAGCAAACAGGAUUAGAUACCCUGGUAGUCCACGCUGUAAACGAUGAUCACUCGCUGUUGGCGAUAUACAGUCAGCGGCCAAGCGAAAGUAUUAAGUGAUCCACCCUGGGGAGUACGCUCGCAAGAGUGAAACUCAAGGAAUUGACGGGG
rnacentral:rRNA from 1 species